UUAGCCCUAUCGCAACAGGGCAAGCACAGGAGGCCGGUCAUGUUUAUCGAUAAUGUGGUGUUUGCCGGAGUGCUGACUGUAAGCCUCAUGGUGAUGUUUUUUGUAGGAUUUGGAAUUUUUAUCUGGAAAGACGCGAACAAGCGUAAAAAACCAUAGGUCUUUCCAGAUUACAUGAGCACGCAAGGCAUUUUGGGCGACUUCGGUCGCCCUUUUUUUUG
rnacentral:sRNA from 1 species